UUGACUGCGAAGAAAGAAAGUUAUCAUGCUACACAGCACCACAGAGACCUGCAUCUUUGAUUCCCUUCUCUCGCUCGCUCUCGGUCAGUCUUUUUCUUUCUUAUUUGCUGCAAAUAUUUCGGUCUUAUCGAAAUAUCAAAGAAGAGCCUUCAAAUCAACAAAGACUGAACUCAUAACUAUAUUCAUAGCAUGGCUGUAUUUUGGUAUUUAGUCCCCGCUGAUACGACGAGCCAAAGUUAAAGUUUGCUCUGCGCCCUGGAACAUUCGGUCUUCAACAUGUUGUGCUGUGCUCUAGAUCCGAUACUGGAGUGAUCAAAAGGAGCAGUGGACUGUACCAAACGCAAAAAGGGGGGUUCGGCUAGAAAACGCACCGUUUCGACAAGAAACAGUCAAGCUAGGCCCCCCCUCCCCGUGUCAUUUACCGGCCUACACGGUAAAACGACCACGGGCAGGAGUUUCCAGUACCUGGUUGACUGGGAAAGUUAGGGCCCGGAGGAGAGGUGCUGGGUUCCCUCUAGAGACAUCCUGGAUUCAGCCCUCAUCACUAUCUUCCACCGCCGACACCCCAUUCUACCGGGUAUGCGUCCAGUCCUCCCGGUUUUGACCCUUGCCUGUUUCUGGACUCUGUACCCACCUGCCUGA